rnacentral:rRNA from 1 species
UACGUAGGGGGCAAGCGUUGUCCGGAUUUAUUGGGCGUAAAGAGCGUGUAGGCGGCCAGACAGGUCCGUUGUGAAAACUCGAGGCUCAACCUCGAGACGUCGGUUGAAACCGUCUGGCUAGAGUCCGGAAGAGGAGAGUGGAAUUCCCGGUGUAGCGGUGAAAUGCGCAGAUAUCGGGAAGAACACCCGUGGCGAAGGCGGCUCUCUGGGACGGUACUGACGCUGAGACGCGAAAGCGUGGGGAGCGAACAGG